rnacentral:tRNA from 1 species
GGGUCGUUAGCUCAGUUUAUAGAGCAGUUGACUUUUAAUCAAUUGGUCGCAGGUUCGAAUCCUGCACGACCCACCA